AACGAACGCUGGCGGCAUGCCUAACACAUGCAAGUCGAACGAGAUCUUCGGGUCUAGUGGCGCACGGGUGCGUAACGCGUGGGAAUCUGCCCUUUGGUUCGGAAUAACAGUUGGAAACGACUGCUAAUACCGGAUGCUCACGCAAGUCCAACGAUUUAUCGACAGAGGAUGAGCCCGCGUAGGAUUAGCUAGUUGGUGUGGUAAAGGAGCACCAAGGCGACGAACCUUAGCUGGUCUGAGAGGAUGAUCAGCCACACUGGGACUGAGACACGGACCAGACUCCUACGGGAGGCAGAAGUGGGGAAUAUUGGACAAUGGGCGAAAGCCUGAUCCAGCAAUGCCGCGUGAGUGAUGAAGGCCUUAGGGUUGUAAAGCUCUUUUACCCGGGAUGAUAAUGACAGUACCGGGAGAAUAAGCUCCGGCUAACUCCGUGCCAGCCGCCGCAGUAA
rnacentral:rRNA from 1 species